UGUUCUCUGCGGACACAGAGUGAGGAGUGGCCCCGGGGUCCUGGCCCAGCGCAGUCCAGCCGGCGUGGCAGCACCCCCUGCCGGCCCUCGCCGGGCUCCCGCCCCGCCUUCCUGCCUCCAGGUCCCCUGCAGCCUCCAGACUCGUGCCGCAGGGGACCCAGGUCGGAUCGGCGUGGAAGUGGGAUAGCUACGCACGACUUGGUGCGGCAGAGCAGAACACUGACCAGCGCCAAGCAAAUUACGCUUCCUCUGGGUUGAAGCCCCAGCUCCAGCCCCAGGCCGACGCUGGUCGCUGAAGGCGGCCUCUGAAAGAUAGUCUUUCAGCUUGGCAGAAAAUGCUAUUCCAGCCGUCCUGCCUUCCCUGGGGACAGGCACCUGGAGGAUGGAUGGGCAAGCAGGGUGCUGCCCAAAGGAAAGAGAACAGCACUGGAAAAGGAAGACAGAGCCUCAAGCUGUUGCCCUGCUGUCACAGCUCACAGCAACCUCCAACUCCUGGGCUCAAGUGAUUCUCCUGCCUCCGUCUCCCAAGUAGCUGGGACUGCAGAUACCCGCCACAACCCCCGUCUAUUUUUUAGUUGCAGCCGUUGUUGUUUGAUGGUCCUGGGCUGGAUUUGAACCCGUCAGCUCCAGUGUAUGUGGCUGGUGCCUUAGCUGCUUGAGCCACAGGCGUGGAGCCAAAAUUAAUGUCAUUUUCGGAAAGAUGUUUGGAGAACACUUAGAGAUCUAAAAAUAGACUUACCAUUCAAUCCUAUUAUUCCUGUACUAGGUAUAUACCCAGAAGACCAAAAGUCACAUUAUAACAAAGAUAUUUGUACCAGAAUGUUUGUUGCAGCCCAAUUCAUAAUUGCUAAGUCAUGGAAAAAGCCCAAGUUCCCAUUGAUCCACGAAUGGAUUAAUAAAUUGUAGUAUAUGUGCACCAUGGAAUAUUACGCAGCCUUAAAAAAGAUGG